UACGGGGGGUGCGAGCGUUGUCCGGAAUCACUGGGCGUAAAGGCGCGUAGGUGGUUUGAUAAGGGUGUGGUGAAAGUCCGGAGCUCAACUCCGGAUCUGCCGUGCCGACUGUCAAACUCGAGGGCUGUAGAGGCAGACGGAAUUCCGGGUGUAGCGGUGAAAUGCGCAGACAUCAGGAGGAACACCGAUGGCGAAGGCAGGUCUCUGGGCCACUACUGACGCUGAGAAGCGAAAGCAUGGGGAGCGAACAGG
rnacentral:rRNA from 1 species